rnacentral:lncRNA from 1 species
AUCUUCUACGCCUGCUUGGCCGGAGGCCUCAUCCUGGCCUACACCCGCUCCCACAGCCCUGACAGCACGCUCCAGCCCUCUGGGAACUGAAUCCAACACGUCCAACACUUGGCACUGAACUGAAGCAAUGCAUUCUAUCAGAACUCUGGGCCGUCUAACUGGCAGCUGCUCCAGGGGCUGCCAGGGACUGCUCACUCUGCAGAGCCAACGGGCUUGCCAGGCCGACUGCAGCAGCUCCAGCUUCCAGUUGCCUUAGGGACAGAGACAAAGGAAAUGAAGAGACCUCAGACAUCUUUUCCCUCCCUCUCUCUUUCAGCAGGGAGCUAGCAGGACACUAGGACCAGUCUGUGGGAUAGAAUGAACUUAAUGGGGGACGGAAGGGGGAGGAGUGCUCAACGGGGAGGGAAAUGAUCUAUGACUCCAACUGUAUGGUUUUCUUGCCUCCCCAGUUUUCAUCCCAGUGGUAACGCCUGAUUUUUGGUAGCUAUGCCAUCUUCUGCUGAGGAUUACCAUUACUGGGUGUAUCACCCCAGUACUUCCAAAUGCCUCUCCUCUAUUGAUUCAGUUGUUAUUGAAGUGUCUGCUUCAUCCGUGGAACUUGAGGCUCAGAUGCCCCCUGCUCUGUAACCCUGGGGAAUGUCAGAG